rnacentral:misc_RNA from 1 species
GAGUUGCAAAACUCCCAAACCAUUGUGAACUUACCUUCAACGUUGCUUCGGCGGGUUGGCCCCGGUCUCCGGGGUCCCCGGCCCUAACGGGCGCCCGCCGGAGGUAUCUAACUCUUGAACUUUUAUGGCAUCUCUGAGUAUUGUACUUAAUAAGUCAAAACUUUCAACAACGGAUCUCUUGGUUCU